rnacentral:rRNA from 1 species
CCUACGGGCGGCAGCAGUAGGGAAUAUUGCUCAAUGGGGGAAACCCUGAAGCAGCAACGCCGCGUGGAGGAUGAAGGUUUUCGGAUUGUAAACUCCUUUUGGUAGAGAAGAUAGUUACGUUAUCUAAUGAAUAAUCCCCGGCUAACUCCGUGCCAGCAGCCGCGGUAAUACGGAGGGUGCAAGCGUUACUCGGAAUCACUGGGCGUAAAGAGCUCGUAGGCGGGAUAGCAAGUCAGAUGUGAAAUCCUAUGGCUUAACCAUAGAACUGACUUUGAAACUGUUAUACUAGAGUAUGGGAGAGGUAGGUGGAAUUCUUGGUGUAGGGGUAAAAUCCGUAGAGAUCAAGAGGAAUACUCAUGGCGAAGGCGACCAGCUAGAACAUAACUGACGCUGAUGCGCGAAAGCGUGGGGAGCAAACAGGAUUAGAUACCCCAGUAGUC